rnacentral:tRNA from 1 species
GGCUCGUUGGUCUAGGGGAAUGAUUCUUCCUUCGGGUGCAAGACGUCCCGGGUUCAAAUCCCGGACGAGCUC